UUCGCCCGCGUGCCAUAAGCUUGAAGUGCGGAGUGCGCCGAGAGACGAAACUCCCCGAUACGAUUUUCGCGGGGCACGCGACCCCCUUGCGGUAAUUUAAUUGAUUCGCGAUAUCUGCGCGAAAAUAAUCAACGGACACUGUUGUACCUUGUAUAUUUCUCAGCGAGUAUCCCGUCGGACACGUUUUUCAGACUCGCUCUCACCGCCUUGCAAGCCGAUUAUUAUCCCACGCGUAGAAAGGCGCCCCGGCCUUGUUCUCUUCGUACCCACGCGAUUUUAUAACUCGUAAGAGACAGCAGCCGAGUGCGGCAGUGUGAUUACGUGCAGUUCUUCGUCCUUUGUUUAAGGUGAAGGAUACAAACGCGACAGCGGAUCGUCUCGUGCUUUUACGAAAAACGUAACAUUCGUGGUGUUUUUACAGCAUAAAGAAGAUCGUUCGAACGUUGAAAUUUUCCAAUUUUCCACCACUGUUCGAGCACCGAGUACAUGGGAUAUUUUAACGCUCGCCGAAAGCUAUCCGGCGUUUCUUUCGAGUGACAAUUUCACUUGGGGUCAGACCAACCAUCAGUGUAACGUACGUGCAGGUUGCAUGUGAACGGGUAAUUAAACCCCCGGGGUCAAAGAAUAUAAAAAUCGUUAAAGUUGGCCGUCGAGUAUCGUCAGUUCGGUUGUGACGGUGCAGCGCGCGGUUUUUACUCAGUGCGAGUCGAAUGAAUCCAGGUCGUGACUUGGCCAGGUUUAGCCACAGUUACAACCCGUCGAAGACGUGAAAAGGCGAGGAAACAAGGAAGGAAGUCUCUCAUCAAAAGGUGCCGGUCGUUCAAUCACCACCAUGUAACACUUCGCACGUUGUUUCAAAGUGUCUCUGCCCGAUUACUUCGCAAAAGAACAGGUCGUCCUGCAGACCUCGGCGUGCAGGAACCCCGCGCAAUAACCUAAAGACGAAGCGAAACCCGGAGUCAAAUUUCACCGUCAUAAGAUGAGGCGACCGAUCGCGGCGGCCGGAACGAGCUGGUAGAUCGUACACAUCGAUUCGGAAUAUCGUCAUCGGCGCGGUGGUGGAGGAAUAUCGGCAUCAGCGGGCGUAGCCGAAGAUAAAAUGCCAAGACCAUCGCGCGAGUCAUACGGCGAACAGAAGCCCCCCUACUCCUACAUCUCGCUUACGGCAAUGGCGAUAUGGUCAUCCCGUGAAAAGAUGCUACCACUCGCUGAGAUAUACAGGUUUAUUGCUGACCGAUUUCCGUACUACCGCCGGGACACGAGACGGUGGCAGAAUUCUCUGAGGCACAAUCUAUCGUUCAACGAUUGCUUCAUCAAGGUUCCCAGGGGUCCUCACACCCCGGGCAAAGGUGCCUACUGGGCGCUGCAUCCAGCGGCGUUAUCGAUGUUCGAGAACGGUUCGUUCCUCCGUCGUCGGAAGCGGUUUAAGCUCCCUAAGGCAGCGAAAGCCGAGAGCCAGGCGUUGGCUGAAACGGCGGCUAGGUUGGCUGCGACGAACAACUGCAGCGGGGCCGAGAGCUUCGGACCUUCGAUUUCGGACAACAAUUCCGGAUCAUUCCACCAUCACCAAGGAAUCAGCCUCACGCAGAGGCAGAUCGACUUCCUCCAGGCGACUUCGAGCUUGGCGGGUCUUCACACCCUUUAUCCUGUCGCUAGAGACCAACGAGCCAUCUCCCUACCACCCGAGUAUCACACUCCUCCAAGGAGCGAGUUCUCCACCGGGUACAACGUCAAGGAGUUUGGCACCUUGGCCCAGUCCGGCACGACUAUUCUUCCCGGCACUGAUUCCGACUCCAGGAUUCUACCCAAACGACCGAAGCCGCUCAAUCCGGCCCACAAAUCUUUCAGCAUCGAGAGCAUCAUUGAGUCCUCGACGGAUUCAACCGCGAGUCGGUCUUCCAGGACAGCGGGACUGUCGAGCCUGAACCCGCUCCUCUCGACCUCGACGUCGGUCGGACUUCUACCGCCGUGGUGCGGACCCAGCAUCUACACCUCAGGUAUGACGACGUCGCCCAGUGUCUACCCUUUGCACCUUCACCAGGCAGCCGCCGUUUACGCCACGGCUUUGGCCACGGCGAACCUCUUUGGUUCUCAUUCGGGACUCCAGGGACCCGGGAAGACAUCGUCGAGCUCUGCACCGACUCCGGCGUCCACCGCGUCCCUCUACGGCCUUUACGCUGCCGGAUUUCCCGCUAUGCUUGGACUCGGUCCUGCCGCUCCUAUUCCUGACACUACCCUCGGCCUAUCGGUGCCCCAUCCCAUCAGUCUCCCACCGACCCCCACGACAUCCCCGACCAUUCUUGCCCUACCCCAACCACCCCGUGGUCCGGACAGCUCGACGACCUCCAGUUACAGUCAGGGUCAAUCUUGCAGAGAUUUGGCGUCCACGUAGUAGCAUGACUACGUUUGUUGCGGACUUGUAACUUGAAUUGGGCGAGACACCGAAGUUGGAGACACGAAAAUGGUUACCAGACACAAUUAGGGUUACGAGUGUAGUCCCGUAUUUUGCUCGAUGCAUUAAGCGAUUUUGGUACUUGAAGACAUUCUUCCGUUUGAAGACAAUGGAAGCCCGUUGGAUUUUCGAAAACCAUCGGUUCUUUUAUUUUCCUCCAAUUCCUUUACUCCUGGUCGAUUUCUCCGCACUGGCGGAUGUUCCAAUCCAGUCCUUGUUCAGAAUGCGAUACGCGCUUAUAGUACCUAUCCAUUUUUCUUCGCUCCGGGUCAUGUGCGCAAUUGCAGUCGUUGAUGCUGUUCGGACUCGACGGUGAGACUGAGUCACGUGCAGAAAUACUUCCAGAUUACAGAGCGAGUGCUGCUCCGUGUUUCCUCAGGCUUCUUAGCUUCCCGAGGCGUUUGUGGGAAAUUCUAAACAUUCGUCAAGGCUCGUUAAGAGAUACUUUCAAGGGAAGUUGAGCCCUGGUUUCGGUCCUUCGAGAACUCGUCUCCAGUUCAUAACGAGCAAUCUUUGAACAUUGACUCUCCGCGGCAUGUGACGCGGAUCAGGAUUGGAUGGUUUAAGAGAACUUGGAUCUAAUACCAGGUAGUGAAUCCCGGCGGUAUUCUUGCAGGCCAGUUUACGACUAUGGGAACGGGUUAAAAAUCGGCGUGCCAAUUUGCCGGGAGCAGGUAUAAGGCAUAGAGACUUUACGGAGCGUCAGUUGAGGAAUAUCAGCAACGCGCUGCGAUAUCAAUUAUCGUUACUUAGCAGUAAAGCGCACCGGCAGCCAAUAGAAGGUUGCACCGCGCGCGCUGAGGAAGAAAAGAAGUAGAGGAAAUUAAAGGAAGCCCGCGAAAAUGAAACGCAGCAAUGAGAGAGGAACUGGAGGAACAAAGGAGGGAGAGGAGAUCGCGAAGAGCGU
rnacentral:misc_RNA from 1 species